rnacentral:rRNA from 1 species
AUGAGAUUCACUUUACCGAGUGGUGUAACGUCAUCUAUGGAGAUAUUCGAGCAUGUUAGAGAAGUUUAAUGUCACCCUAAUAUCUGAAUUGUUUAUUGCACCUUAUUUAUUGUGCCUGUGAUGGCUGACAGAAGCUUUUCAAAGACGAAAUUACCGAAGACAUAUCUUAGGUCAACAACGACUCAAGUGAGGUUAAAUUAUUUAGCAACAUUAUGCAUCGAGAAGAAAUUAUUGGAUUAUAUUAAUGUCGACCUCAUCAUAAGUGACUUUGCAUCAAGGAAUGUUAAAAGAAAUUUUGAAGGUAAUAUGUAUAAAUUAUUUGGUAUACAUACUGAUUUUGAAUGCAUUUAA